rnacentral:pre_miRNA from 1 species
AGUGAAAUAACUGGGUCAUAUGGUGGUUCUAUUCCUGAUAUUUUGAGGAAAUCUCCAUACUGCUUCCCAAAGUAGUUGUACUAAUUUGAAGUCCCACCAACAAU